rnacentral:misc_RNA from 1 species
GUGAAUCAUCAAAUCUUUGAACGCAAAUUGCACUCUCUUCGGGGAGUAUGCCUGUUUGAGGGUCAGCCUAAAAACCCCCCACCUACUCCCUGUUUUCGCGGUGCCAUUCGUCGGACAUUCGGUCAUCUUAAACCUUUGGGUUUUACGCGGCUUAAAAUUUUCUUUACGGAUUCCACGAACGUUUCUAAGAUUUACUUCUUACACACGUUUAAGGCAUCCAUCUUUAUUAGACGUGGCCGUUGCAUCGGAUCUCGUCCAUCACUAUUUCGUUACCUGA